GGAUGCGAUCAUACCAGCACUAAAGCACCGGAUCCCAUCAGAACUCUGAAGUUAAACGUGCUUGGGCGAGAGUAGUACUAGGAUGGGUGACCUCCUGGGAAGUCCUCGUGUUGCAUUCC
rnacentral:rRNA from 1 species